AACGAACGCUGGCGGCAGGCUUAACACAUGCAAGUCGAACGCGUGUAGCAAUACACGAGUGGCGCACGGGUGAGUAACGCGUGGAUAUCUGCCUUUUGGUUCGGAAUAACCCCGGGAAACUGGGGCUAAUACCGGAUGGUUCCUUCGGGAUAAAGAUUUAUCGCCAAAAGAUGAGUCCGCGUACGAUUAGCUAGUUGGUGAGGUAAUGGCUCACCAAGGCGACGAUCGUUAGCUGGUCUGAGAGGACGAUCAGCCACACUGGGACUGAGACACGGCCCAGACUCCUACGGGAGGCAGCAGUGGGGAAUAUUGGACAAUGGGGGCAACCCUGAUCCAGCCAUGCCGCGUGAGUGAUGAAGGCCUUCGGGUUGUAAAGCUCUUUUGGCGGGGACGAUGAUGACGGUACCCGCAGAAUAAGCCCCGGCUAACUUCGUGCCAGCCGCCGCGGUAA
rnacentral:rRNA from 1 species